rnacentral:rRNA from 1 species
UAAUACAUGCAAGUAGAACGCUGAAGAGGAGCUUGCUCUUCUGAAGAGUUGCGAACGGGUGAGUAACGCGUAGGUAACCUGCCUCUUAGCGGGGGAUAACUAUUGGAAACGAUAGCUAAUACCGCAUAAAAGUCGACAUUGCAUGAUGUUGACUUGAAAGGUGCAACUGCAUCACUAAGAGAUGGACCUGCGUUGUAUUAGCUAGUUGGUGAGGUAACGGCUCACCAAGGCGACGAUACAUAGCCGACCUGAGAGGGUGAUCGGCCACACUGGGACUGAGACACGGCCCAGACUCCUACGGGAGGCAGCAGUAGGGAAUCUUCGGCAAUGGGGGCAACCCUGACCGAGCAACGCCGCGUGAGUGAAGAAGGUUUUCGGAUCGUAAAGCUCUGUUGUAAGAGAAGAACGAGUGUGAGAGUGGAAAGUUCACGCUGUGACGGUAUCUUACCAGAAAGUCGUAACAAGGUAC